UUUUUUUGGAACGGAGGAAAUAUUCCCUCCGCUCCUUUCCAACUACUCAAACUAUUCAAUGUAAAACUUCUUAAAUGAGUAGUCACUUUAACACAAGACAAUCAACCAUUAAAGUGAGUACUCACUUUAACACAACAGAAAUUUGUCAAAAAAAAAAAAGCUUGUAAUAGAAAUUUGUCAAAAACAAACAUAUAUGUACUUUUACAACAUCAAGUGAUCAAUACAUUUCUUUCUAUUACAAGCUGGUUUUUUUUUUGACAAAUUUCUAUUACAAGCUUAGAAGAAAAAAAAUGGCUGAAAUUAUUAAAUUUAUUCAUUUAAUGAUACUCUUUGUUUUUUUUAUUUCUUGUUGUAACUGACCACUACAAGAAUUUUGGGAAUUUCCUAGAAAAGUUUUCGAGAAAAAUUGAUUCAUCCCAAAAUCCAAGUGUUUCCGAGGAAAUAUUCGUAGGAAACCAGUUGUCAGCGAAACGCGUUUUCCCAGAAUUCAUUUUCGAAGAAAAUUUAGUCGAAAAACAGUUUUGACCGAGUCAGAGCACUUUCCUAAAAAGUUUUCAUCGGUAAACGCCCCAUGUGAUAAGCACGCGCCAGGAAUUCUCUCCGGUGUAGUUUCAAGGCAUGUGACUAUUCUGCACACACUGUGUGGAGAAUUAAUUUUACAAAAGUGCAGGGAUAAGGUGCAACGUUGAUAAAGACUGUUCCCGGUUUUUGUGUGCACAUCCUUUGGUUGCAAAAUGCACUUCUUAUCAAUGUAAAUGUCGUUUGUUAUAUUCUUCUUUGAUCUUAAAGGAAGAAGUUAAAAUUUGAUCUAAAAUAGUUAUAAAAUUACAAUUAUUAGAACUAUUGUUACUAAUAAUAUUACUUAUUUUCUUUCA